GGGCUCGCUCAGCUCCGGCCGAGCUCCUGAGGUCUCCGGAGUCCAGGCACUUGUCAGCAGCUGGGCUCGGCGAGGGGAGGUCGUCGAGGACGCGCCGCCCGGGGUGGGGUCCCUGAGAGUUUCGCCCUUUGGGGGGGCUUGUUCCCGAAGUUCAGGGAGUUUGGAGACAGUCCUCCCGCGCCGGGACAGGGGGAGCGGCGGCGGCGGCGGCGGCCUCGGCGGGGCCCGGGCGAGCGAGGCAGGAAGGCUCGGGGCCCGGGCCCGCGAGGGUCGACCGCGCGCCGCACCCUUCCCUCCGGCCGCCGCGCCGCCCCUCCUCGCCGCGGCCGGAGCCCGCGGGGCCCGCGCCCCUUCCCGCGCUGCGGCCGCCGCCGGAGCCCGUCACAUGCCGUCCGCAGCGCCCAGGCUUGUCCGCGCGGAGGGGCGCCCACAGGCCUCGGCCCCGAGCCGAGCCGCCCUCAGCAACCCCCCACCACCCCGGCCCAAAGUUUUAGCCUUAGAAGCAGUUUCCAGAAGGGGUCGACUCCCGGGGGCCGGGGGGCGACGCGGCCGGGCUGUCAGUGGCGCUCCGAGAGCGCGCUGGAGCGUCCGGGUCGCGACAGCGCGGGGGCUUUGGCUAUCGGGACACGUCCACAACUUUGCUCCGCCGCGGGGCGGGCGCCGGGGAGCUGGCGGUGGUGGUGGUCAGGCACUUCUGAGCCAGGCGAGGCAGGAUGGGGGGGCUUCAGACGGGACCCCGGGAGCGGAGGGAUGCCUGAGCCGGGUCCGGAGCGCAGUGCCGUUCGCCACCAGCCGCGGCGGGGGCGGCUGCAGCUGCGCUGGGGAAGGGGCGAGCGGGGGGAGUGCGGGCUCCCGCCCCGCCAACUCUCGGUAGGGCUCCGGGUUCCCGCUGGGAUCACCUGUUCCCGGUGCCCGCCGGCUCCGCGGAGCGCGCAGUCCCGGCUGCGCCUCCCCCGCUGCAGCUGGCUUUCUCGCCGCGGCCGCUCCAGACGGGCCGCCGCCGCCGCCGCAGGCUGAGCCGCCGCCGCCGAGCCUGCGCCCCACCACGCGCGCACACACCGCCCGGAC
rnacentral:lncRNA from 1 species